rnacentral:rRNA from 1 species
UGGGGAAUUUUGGACAAUGGGCGCAAGCCUGAUCCAGCCAUGCCGCGUGCAGGAUGAAGGCCUUCGGGUUGUAAACUGCUUUUGUACGGAACGAAAAGGUGCCUUCUAAUAAAGGGCGCUCAUGACGGUACCGUAAGAAUAAGCACCGGCUAACUACGUGCCAGCAGCCGCGGUAAUACGUAGGUUGCGAGCGUUAAUCGGAAUUACUGGGCGUAAAGCGUGCGCAGGCGGUUUUGUAAGACAGAGGUGAAAUCCCCGGGCUCAACCUGGGAACUGCCUUUGUGACUGCAAGGCUGGAGUGCGGCAGAGGGGGAUGGAAUUCCGCGUGUAGCAGUGAAAUGCGUAGAUAUGCGGAGGAACACCGAUGGCGAAGGCAAUCCCCUGGGCCUGCACUGACGCUCAUGCACGAAAGCGUGGGGAGCAAACA